AUCAGCAGCUUUUAAACAGAAGGAGAAAGGAAGCAGGUGGAUGUAAUUCCUUCACUCUGAGGGAGCUGGGAAGGAGGUGAGGACCUGCGUGGCGCUGCCAGCAUCAUCUUCCUCAGCAGGACGAUGAAAUCAGGAAACUGAUCCCCACACUCACCAGAAAUUGCAGUCCGAUCAUGACAGCUUUUUAAGGUCAUUCCAAGUUCUCCAUUUGACUGCUCCUGUAUGGAAUAAACAGAGAAAAAUAUCCACUGAUUCUGAAAACUGAAUUGUGAAUCAUGCUGAUGUCUUCCUGGACCUUCUUGAUGUCUCUCUUGUCUUCCUGGACCCAGGACCAGACUUUACAUAUAUAUGACAAGAUUCCUUUGGGAGCAAGGAUGAGGGACAAGGCUUUUUAGUCACAGAAGCUGCAAACCCUCUUUCACCUGCACACUAGAAACGGUGCAUACCUAGAAGGUGGCAGGUGAUUUUUCCUCAAAGUCUAAAAUUGUCUUCCAGUCUAACUUUCAGAUGGUUCUUCACUGCAGAGUGGAACAAGAUGCUGAGUUGCAAUCUCAGUGCUAGGGCGCAGCAGCCAGCAUAUUCUGAUUUAGAGAAAUCGGAUCUAUUUUCCUCUGAAAUUCUUUGUACCAAAUUGAGAGUGCUGUGAUGGAUAUGACAAGCUGAGAAGAGCCACAGACUAUGUUUAUUCCUAUAAGUAGAGAAGAAAGUCUUUCCUGACUUCUGCAAGUGGUUACCUUUACUUUCUAAAGAGUGGAAUUUGACUGCUUUGACUACAGAAUGAGCAGCGUUAAAUGUUACUCAGUGUGGUGAGUGCUAUUUCUCCAAACUAAUACAGUCAGUCAAAAAAACAGAUCUUCACGCACUUAUUAUUUAUAAAGAAUGUCAGGUGAAUCAUGACACCAUGACCAAUGGUAUCAGGGUCUAAUAUUGGAUUUUUUUUAUCUCACCAAAACCUCAUUUAUUUAGUUUUUAGAACAACAGUUCAGGUGAAACCAUGAUAAGCAAAAGAUGAAAGCUCUGUCAGAUAAACAGCAAUCCUGUACUAUUUCAACUAUCCUAGUUUCCAAAAGGGUAUGAAAUAUGCAGUAAUUCACACAAACAUAAAUAUUGAAUAACCAUGGCAGUGGAUUGCAUUAAUAGAUACAUAAGAUGAGUAAAAACAUAUUUGAUUUAGUCCUCUGCUGAUGGUGCCAGCAGAUUACAAGGACUAACCUGUCUACUGCAAUGUUACCCAUCAAAUAGCUAUGAUUCAAAUCUUUCCUCUUUUUUUUUUCCUCUCAGAUAGCCAGGAUAAAUAACAGCCUUUAUAUCAUUUUGGAGACUAAUCCUGAUCUUACCCAUCCAAUUUCAUGCACAUGAAUAUUCCUGUUGAUUAGGGUAGGAAAGUUUUUCACAUCCACAAAUCAUUGUGGAAUUUGGAGCCAUAAUGUGUCAAAUUAAUUCCUGACCUCACUCAGCUACCUGUGCAUCCACUUGGCCUGACACUACAUGACAGAAUUUGGGCAUAAAUUUGGUGUGAGAACUCCUGAAGCACAAAUAGGAGCCAGGAUCCCACUGAUGGUUCCUUGAGAUGGGUCCCAUUCAGCCCUCUCUCCUCCUGUCUUGUAGGGAUGAGCAUUUCAAGGGUGGAGGCUAACAGGCAUUCCUAACUAUGCAUGGCAUCCUACUCCUUAAUGCUGACACGAAUAGACUGUUUCCUAGGAGAUAGCUCAAAAUCAAAUAAAUUAUUUGAGAGAUAUUCAUGUUAAAAGAUUCCACGGGGUUCAUCCUUACAUAAAACUCCUGUUACUAAUUAGCUGGCUACAGAUCAGGGCUACAAGACGUGGCAGAUACGAUCCAUUUCCCUCUUCACUGUGUGUGACAAAAGCUGUGUGUGGUCAGACCCCCAAGCCCCUUUUCCUGUGUCAUGCUGCCAGUUCAGUGCUCCAGAGCCCCUGCAUUCCUGCCUUGCUCUUCAGGGCCUCUGUUUGCCCCUUGUUCCCUCGCAGUAACAUCUCCCACAGUCUGAGGAUAAGUGUGAGUGAUGUUAGUUGGAGGAUUCCUCUUUCUGUCCUCAUGGAUCCAGGGUGGUGCAUGUUUCAAAGCCCAAAGCCUUGAGGCUGCGGUUUGUUGUUCCCCCACCUUGUGUUUCAGAAGUGAUAAAUCAGACAUUCUGCUUUGAUUAGCUUUCCUCCACCUCCAGUGGCUUUUCAGAUUGCAUCUAGUGAAAGAAUCGCCCAUGAGCCGGUGUUAAAGGUGUGCCUCUAGGAAAUACAUUACCUGAAUAAAAAUGUUCUCAUUCAGAAAUACCUUUUCCACCUUUUUGUUGCCCUUGUUAGGGGAAAAUGCUCCACUUGAACCUCCAGCAAACUGAUUACCUGAUUCUGAUGCUGUGCUCAGAAUUAACGUGCUCCAAAUGCCAACAGAGAUGACUUGUGUUUGGGCACCUCAUGGGAAAAUAGGGAGAUGAAAAGCCUUAGGAAAACUUUGACAAACAACUUGGAGUGUUUGACCAGCUAUGCACAGCUGCUGCGGAGUGGAGAAUGCAAGUAACAUGCCAAACAGAGACAAAAGGGGAUCAGCAGGGAAGGCAGCUUUGGUAUCAGCACUGGACAUUUUAUUCUCAUAAAAGGAGAGGAAAUAACCUGAAUUACCUGUAGGAGGUGUGCCUGCAUGGUUAAUGAAUUCCUAACCAACAGAUCCUGUACCAAUGUAUGCUGGAAUUCUCUCAGAGGUCAUUGGAGAUACAUCCAUGCACAGCACCUUAAUUUGACUGAUUGCAUCCCACCCACCUAAAGCCUUAAAGACUUGUUUGCAGAGCCACAAUCUCUCUGGCCCCUCCAAUUCCCCGUUUGAGGCGAUAAUGUCUCCUCAUAAAUCCUGGAUGCGAUAGCACCAGCAUGACCCAUCACUUCAUUACACCAGAGCUGUGCAGUGCACUGAGGAGGAGUUUAUCUGGACAGA